rnacentral:rRNA from 1 species
UACAGAGGUGGCAAGCGUUGUUCGGAAUUACUGGGCGUAAAGGGCGCGUAGGCGGUUCGUUAAGUCCUGUGUGAAAUCCCCCGGCUCAACUGGGGAACUGCACAGGAAACUAGCGGGCUUGAGUUCGGGAGAGGGAAGCGGAAUUCCGGGUGUAGCGGUGAAAUGCGUAGAUAUCCGGAGGAACACCGGUGGCGAAGGCGGCUUCCUGGACCGACACUGACGCUGAGGCGCGAAAGCUAGGGGAGCAAACGGGG